CCCGGCCCUGCCCUCACGGGCGGAGCGCCCGCCGGAGGAUACCAAACUCUAUUUUAACGACGUUUCUUCUGAGUGGCACAAGCAAAUAAUUAAAACUUUCAACAACGGAUCUCUUGGUUCUGGCAUCGAUGAAGAACGCAGCGAAAUGCGAUAAGUAAUGUGAAUUGCAGAAUUCAGUGAAUCAUCGAAUCUUUGAACGCACAUUGCGCCCGCCAGCAUUCUGGCGGGCAUGCCUGUUCGAGCGUCAUUUCAACCCUCAAGCUCUGCUUGGUGUUGGGGCCCUACGGUUGACGUAGGCCCUUAAAGGUAGUGGCGGACCCUCUCGGAGCCUCCUUUGCGUAGUAACUAACGUCUCGCACUGGGAUUCGGAGGGACUCUUGCCGUAAAACCCCCAAAUUUUUAAAGGUUGACCUCGGAUCAGGUAGGAAUACCCGCUGAACUUAAGCAUAUCAA
rnacentral:rRNA from 1 species